CUGGGUUAAGUGCGUAGGCGGACCAUCAUGUCAGGGGUGAAGCCCUGGGCUCAACCUGGGAACUGCCCUUGAAACUGAUGGUCUAGAGUCCGAGAGAGGAUGGCGGAAUUCCCAGUGUAGAGGUGAAAUUCGUAGAUAUUGGGAAGAACACCAGUGGCGAAGGCGGCCAUCUGGCUCGGUACUGACGCUGAGGCGCGAAAGCGUGGGGAGCAAACAGGAUUAGAUACCCCGAGUA
rnacentral:rRNA from 1 species